rnacentral:sRNA from 1 species
GCCGGGGAUAGGGUAGCUCCCGAACGGCGGCAAUCCUGGGCCGUUUCCCCGGCUUAAUCUUCCAGGA